CAAACUAUUGAUCCACACACAGAUAAAAAUAGCUUCGGUAAAUUCCCAGGAUUAGUUUCAUUGGACGAUAAACUGCAAGGGGCGGGCCGUCGAUCGUUCCGAAACGUGCACACGCUCGAUCAUGUUUAAACCUGUCGCGAUAUGUACUGUACAGAUCAAAACAUGCGGACAUUGUGACUUUAUAACUACGGUAUCUGACAACGUGCUCAUCAUUCUAAAGACGGAUUCCAAACUAGACAUGAAUAUAGGAGGUUCUGUCAAAAUGUGUAGCCUGGGCGAAUUCUACAACAUGGCCAUUGAAAAAUGCCAGAAGUGCACCGUAUGUCCAAAGGGUGAUUCCUUGAUAUUCAAAUGUUCGUCAUUCCUGGACACCGUGUGCGAGUCAGAACUCUGGAAAGACAUCCCGAAACCACCUCCCAACCCCGUCCCCACCACUUCGCACGCGACCCGGGGACCAGAGACGGUGGAGGUCCUGACUGAGGACCUAAUGUCCAGCCCCACCAUCCUCAUAGUGAUAUCAGCAGUCUUCCUGACCACAAUUUUGGUGACCCUCAUUGUAGCAGUGUAUUGUUUGUGGGGACGGUUGUGGAGAUAUAAACAGGAAAAAAGGAUUCAAUACCUUCCCAGACCGUACACCGGUUAUCGUCAAGAGGCGGAUGGAGAACCCCGGUAUCAUCCAUUACCAUCUCGGGAACGUCUUAAGUCCAACUACACUGGUACCAGUAUAUAUGCCAAUGACACUAUACUUGAUAUGCCGAAUACCCAUAUAUAUGUGAACUUGAUGGACACGAUCGAUGGAGAUUAUUGCACGAUUGAUGAUGACUACGUUGACUUGAAUUGACCAUUCGCAAGUGACACCUGUAUAAUUUCUGCCUGUGAUAUUAAAUGCAAGUACACAUAAGAAUAAACUGUGACAUGUGCUGCCAAAUUAAGAAAUACAUAGGGUGAAUUCAAAAGCAGUCCCGCACCAGAUUUUAUAAUGACAGUCCGGUUACAUCUACCACUAGGACCGGGUGCAGACUCGACAUAAUCCAAGGGAGACAAUUCUGCCAAAAGUACUGAUGAAAGAACUCGAUAUAUGAUCUGCGACAGGAAGUCAGCGUUUUCCCUCUCAAAGAAUUGGAUGAAGUCUUGAGAAAGUAGUCAGAUGAUUGAUUCUAGUCAUGUAUUUAUUUAUUUGUAUGUAUAUAUUGUAUUUAUUUAUUUAUUAAGAACAAAAUUAAAGAGUCAGAUUGAAAA